rnacentral:rRNA from 1 species
UACGUAGGGACCAAGCGUUGUUCGGAUUUACUGGGCGUAAAGGGCGCGUCGGCGGCGUGGUAAGUCACUUGUGAAAUCUCUGAGCUUAACUCAGAACGGCCAAGUGAUACUGCUGUGCUAGAGUGCAGAAGGGGCAAUCGGAAUUCUUGGUGUAGCGGUGAAAUGCGUAGAUAUCAAGAGGAACACCUGAGGUGAAGACGGGUUGCUGGGCUGACACUGACGCUGAGGCGCGAAAGCCAGGGGAGCAAACGGG